rnacentral:misc_RNA from 1 species
GAUGAAGAACGUAGCGAAAUGCGAUAAGUAAUGUGAAUUGCAGAAUUCAGUGAAUCAUCGAAUCUUUGAACGCACCUUGCACCCUUUGGUAUUCCGAAGGGUAUGCUCGUUUGAGAGUCAUUGUACUCUCACACUUCUAAUUCCUUUCGGGAUUGGGAGCGGUGGACUUGGGUGUUGCUGCUUUAGUUGUGGCUCACCUCAAAUAAGUUAGUGCAACUCUUGGUUGGACAUAGUACGGCGUGAUAAGUGUCUUCGCCGGCGCCUCUGUAAGGAGGGUGGCCGAUCGGGAGCUCUGUGCUUCAAACCGUCUUCGGACAAUCUUUGACAACUUGACCUCAAAUCGAGUAGGACUACCCGCUGAACUUAAGCAUAUCAAUAAGCGGAGGA